AAAAAAAAAAAAAGAGAACCCGACCGGAGGAAAAACAAAAAAACCAGAACCCGACCGUUGAAAGCACCCUUUCAAGUCGCCGCCGGUGACUCAAAACCGCCGAAUAAUAUCUCAGAACCUCCCAAUUUUCCUUCUCGGAAAGAUCUUCACUUUUUGUCUUCAUAUUUCUCAAUCCGUGAUUGAUUGAUUGAUUCACUGCUAUCUUCUUCAAUCCCAUCUCCUUUAUUGCUCGCUUCCAGUUGUAUCACACUGAGAGAUGGGUAUCACUCACAUCUGAUUUUGUCAACUUGCUUCGACAAGCCACUAGUGAUGUGAUAGAAACGCUAGAGCCUGCUUCGGGAAUCUCAAGAUCGAAUAAGCAGGAUGAAAAAGCCAUGGAGAAGAUGGUAUACCUGAUACUUGAUCAUGUGGAUCUUAUCAGAGAGUGGGACAAAGGCUCUAUGGUUCUGCAGUUUCUAUUCAAUUUGUAUUCUGUUCUGAAGAUGCCUCAGUUUGGUAUAAUACUUAUCAGCGGAUUGCCGCCAAAUGUUGCUCUUUUGGCUCAUUGCUUUAGAGAACAGUACCAUUGUUUCUCUUUUGGCACAUUGCUUUAUACAAAAUUGUUUGAUUCACUGACUUUAACAAUUCUUGUAAAAUCGUGUUAUAGUAAUGGUGGUGUAUUCUCUUGAUGCAUUUUGAAUAAAAUGGUCUGUUUUUCUUUU